AGGGAAUAUUGCGCAAUGGACGAAAGUCUGACGCAGCGACGCCGCGUGAGUGAUGAAGGCCUUAGGGUCGUAAAGCUCUGUUGAAUGGGAAGAAAAAAAUGACGGUACCAUUCGAGGAAGGACCGGCUAACUUCGUGCCAGCAGCCGCGGUAAUACGAGGGGUCCUAGCGUUGUUCGGAAUCAUUGGGCGUAAAGGGUGUGUAGGUGGCCAUGUAAGUCAGGUGUGAAAGCCCCGGGCUCAACCCGGGAAGUGCACUUGAUACUGCGUGGCUUGAGUACCGAAGAGGGUAGUGGAAUUCCAGGUGUAGUGGUGAAAUACGUAGAUAUCUGGAGGAACACCGGUGGCGAAGGCGGCUACCUGGUCGAGUACUGACACUGAGACACGAAAGCAUGGGGAUCAAAC
rnacentral:rRNA from 1 species